rnacentral:rRNA from 1 species
GACGAACGCUGGCGGCGUGCUUAACACAUGCAAGUCGAACGGUAAGGCCCUUCGGGGUACACGAGUGGCGAACGGGUGAGUAAUACGUGGGUGAUCUGCCCUGCACUUCGGGAUAAGCCUGGGAAACUGGGUCUAAUAACGGAUAGGACCACUGCCUGCAUGGGUGGUGGUGGAAAGCUUUUGCGGUGUGGGAUGGGCCCGCGGCCUAUCAGCUUGUUGGUGGGGUAAUGGCCUACCAAGGCGACGACGGGUAGCCGGCCUGAGAGGGUGACCGGUCACACUGGGACUGAGAUACGGCCCAGACUCCUACGGGAGGCAGCAGUGGGGAAUAUUGCACAAUGGGCGCAAGCCUGAUGCAGCGACGCCGCGUGAGGGAUGACGGCCUUCGGGUUGUAAACCUCUUUCAGCUAUGACGAAGCGCAAGUGACGGUAGUAGCAGAAGAAGGACCGGCCAACUACGUGCCAGCCGCCGCGGUAA